GACGAACGCUGGCGGCGUGCUUAACACAUGCAAGUCGAACGGAAAGGCCCUGCUUUUGUGGGGUGCUCGAGUGGCGAACGGGUGAGUAACACGUGAGUAACAUGCCCUUGACUUUGGGAUAACUUCAGGAAACUGGGGCUAAUACCGGAUAGGAGCUCCUGCUGCAUGGUGGGGGUUGGAAAGUUUCGGCGGUGGGGGAUGGACUCGCGGCUUAUCAGCUUGUUGGUGGGGUAGGGGCUUACCAAGGCUUUGACGGGUAGCCGGCCUGAGAGGGUGGCCGGCCACAUUGGUCCUGAGAUACGGCCCAGACUCCUACGGGAGGCAGCAGUGGGGAGUAUUGCACAAUGGGCGGAAGCCUGAUGCGGCAACGCCGCGUGCGGGAUGACGGCCUUCGGGUUGUAAACCGCUUUCGCCUGUGACGAAGCGUGAGUGACGGUAAUGGGUAAAGAAGCACCGGCUAACUACGUG
rnacentral:rRNA from 1 species